rnacentral:pre_miRNA from 1 species
UGUGUACUCCCUCCGUUCCAAAAUACUUGACUUCCAUUUGUCCAAAAAUGGAUGUAGCUAUAUACUAAGACAUGUCUAGAUACAUAUAUAUUUUGACAAAUAGAAGGCAUGUAUUGUGCAAUGGAGGGAGUAGAAU